GACGAACGCUGGCGGCGUGCUUAACACAUGCAAGUCGAACGGAAAGGCCCUGCUUUUGUGGGGUGCUCGAGUGGCGAACGGGUGAGUAACACGUGAGUAACCUGCCCUUGACUUUGGGAUAACUUCAGGAAACUGGGGCUAAUACCGGAUAGGAGCUCCUGCUGCAUGGUGGGGGUUGGAAAGUUUCGGCGGUUGGGGAUGGACUCGCGGCUUAUCAGCUUGUUGGUGGGGUAGUGGCUUACCAAGGCUUUGACGGGUAGCCGGCCUGAGAGGGUGACCGGCCACCGUGGGACUGAGAUACGGGCCCGACUCCUACGGGAGGCAGCAGUGGGGAAUAUUGCACAAUGGGCGGAAGCCUUAUGCCGCAACGCCGCGUGCGGGAUGACGGCCUUCGGGUUUUAAACCGCUUUCGCCUGUGACGAAGCGUGAGUGACGGUAAUGGGUAAAGAAGCACCGGCUAACUACGUG
rnacentral:rRNA from 1 species